ensembl:lncRNA
GUUUGCUGAACGGCAGGUAACGUGCAUCUUUUUGUUUGUUUGCUUUUGUGCGUUUGUGUUUUCUCUAAUGGGCCUCAGAUGACGGUUUGCUUAAAUUUGGGUCUCAAAGCAUUUUUUAAAAUUCUGCCUGUGCUCCCCACCCCUCUUCUUCUGUUGCUCAGGCUGAAGCAGAAUUUGCCCGUCUUACAUCUGUUGACCUGAAAGGGUUCCUUUUUGCUGUGCUUGACCAAUAUGGAGAGGUUCAUGGAGCUGUACAAAAUCAAGAGCGGCAUAGGAGGGCUGACUAGGCUCAUAAAAUGCUUCGGUGAUGAUGAAGAAGACAGAGGGCCUCAUCUUCUAAAGGAAGAUCCCUCACACACUCUCAAGACUGUGAAGACUAUCCAAAGGAACUUAAGGGCAUCUUUGAAGUCAUUCAGAACGUCCUCGUGAACAUUGGUGGAAGGCAGUGCGUCUCACUAGUGCAUGGUCCAAGAAACAGACUCUUGCAGAAAGCCAUACAGAACUGUAAUUGUAUGCUCACAGCAUACAAUUGCCUUAGCGUUAUUAAGGACAGUUUUUAUUUUACUGUUUGUUUUUUUGAUACUUGCAAGUUCUCAUUCUCACUUUUGUAUGUCACUAAAUGACUACACUUUACAUUCCAGAUUAGACAAUUACUCAUUUGUUCAUGGUUUAAGAAACGUCUGUGAACAACAAUAUAAUGGUGGACUCUGCAGAUGCUUAUCUCAUGCAAGUCAGUAGUUUUUCCUUUGUUUUGCAAUUGAGCCGACUGAAACUGAUGUUUCUGAAACUUACAUAUUAUCAAAUGUUUCAGGAGCAUGCACUCAUUUUCAGAGCUGUUGGUUCUGUGGAAUUUGUUGCAAUUGUAAACAAAGACAAAUACAAGAGUUUGAUGUCUUAGUUGUUAUAAACUGAUCUUUACUGUCACUUAUCAAAGGUUUUGUACUAUUUUAAUAUUUCAAGUUUUAUGCUAACAGGUGUGACUGAGCACAAUGAAGUUUAAAAAUUUUGCAAAUGUAAAGAAUAACUUUUGUAAAAUAGCAAGUGUCCCGUUGAUACAUUACAAUAAUGCAGACUUUAUGUUGUUACUUUUAACACAGCAGUAUUUAUCUCAUCUUGUUGAAAGUCUGAUAAGCUCAUGCCAUGGUGAGGGUUCUGUUGACCAGCUGUCCACAAUUCACAAGAAUCCCUCCUGCUCCAGAGUAUUGGUCAGAAUUUAAUCUUCCCCCAAACUGGGCUCAAGACCAAGUUCAAAUUUAUUGUUUCACAGCCAGCAACUUUUGAGUUUUGAUGGAUUGUGAGCCUGAUGAGUUACG